rnacentral:rRNA from 1 species
GUCCACGCCGUAAACGAUGCUAACUCGUUUUUGGGCUUUAGAGUUCAGAGACUAAGCGAAAGUGAUAAGUUAGCCACCUGGGGAGUACGUUCGCAAGAAUGAAACUCAAAGGAAUUGACGGGGGCCCGCACAAGCGGUGGAUUAUGUGGUUUAAUUCGAUGAUACGCGAGGAACCUUACCAAGACUUAAAUGGGAAAUGACAGAUUUAGAAAUAGAUCCUCCUUCGGGCAUUUUUCAAGGUGCUGCAUGGUU